UGGUGAAAAGGUGUGCUUUUUUUUUUGUUGGGAGUGAAAUGCUACACCCACUGCGGCCCUAUGUGGAAUAGUUUGGAGACCACUGCUCUAAAGCUUAGUUCUGCAAUAUACAUUUUUAGAAUUUUUCAAGGUUUUGUGCUAGUGUGACACAUGCAUUAUUAGAUGAUGGAAGGACGUGAAUGUAAAAUAACAGUAAAUAAGUGACAUGAUCUCUAACUAUGGUACUGAAAAACUCUUUGGCUAUAAUUGAUGGCGCCCGGGGUCAAUUUACCGAUGUCCCUGAAGCCAGUUCAAAUUCCACGCUGCGCUGCGUUCAAGUCCACGCGCCCGUCGGACGCUUUCAGCACACCGCCGCAAACAAACCAGUGAAGACAUUAUUCCGAAAGCAAAAGUGAAUCCACCGACAGCGAGGAAACGGUCGGGUCUGCUCGCGCUCCAGGCAAAAAGAGGACGUCGCACAACCGCUUUUCAACCCAGCCAUGAAAAGAAGAUCACGUUGGUCACCCUUUUUGACUUCAAAACGGCGAAUUUCGCCGAAAGGACAUGCGGGAGGACCGAGCUUCCCGCUUUCAGAACCUCUGAAAACAAGGCCCACAACAUCAUCAAAAAAAUUGCUCAUAUUGGAGGUUGGGUCAUCCAUGUGAAGGAGGAGCUGCUGGAAGAGGAAGCGCAGGUGCGCGACGCACAAUUGCGUGUUGUAGUUGGCGUCCAGUCCGGACAACCAGAAGCUGAGGGCCCGCAGGGCCUCGUGUCGCACGCCUUCGCUGCUGUCAUCCAGACGCUUCAGCAACUCUGUACAGGGAAAUCACAACUUUCAGUCUAUCCACAC